UGAAUCCAAUUGACUUGUUUAAAGUUGAACAUGUUCAAGUUUCAUUUCGUUCAAGUGAAUUGAAUUAAGGUUUACACGUUCGCGUUCGAUUCAAGCGACUAGCUCAAUGCACUUGCCUUGUCUAAACGUAGCAUCAUGUGCUUUAUUGAUGAAAACCACAAACUUGAAUAAUUUUUUGCACAUUUUGUUGUUAGUUCGUGUUUGUUCCCGUUUGUUCCUGGUUAAUAAGUGCAAGUGUCAUCAAUCCAGCCUCGUUUGUUCCUGUUUAAAACACACCAUCUCCCGACUGUCGACUAGUCCGACUAGUUGUACUACAGAUGUAGAAUAGCCCUGUACGUCAAUCAUAAACAGAAAUAACUCCGGAUCAUCCGACCAUACUAUACAACGACUAAGGCCGGAGUGGCCAGUGCUGUAAAUAAAAGUCCUCCAUUCAACUCGGUCCAUGGCUGCACAUGGACAGCCACGCAGUCUGUGGAGAGUCCGUAAAUCUUCCACCUGAUCGAUCCACCUUGCUCGUUGCGCACUUCGCCAGGGCAUACAGCCAGUUAUCGAUAGCCAAUGGCCGGUUAUCCAGUGGCGGCAUGGGUUGGAAGUAUUAGCCUGGGCGGAAAGAAACUUCCUCCAGAUAUCCUAUAGUAAGAAAGGUACGAAAGCAAUCUUUAUCACUUCCAUAUUGAGUAACAAAAUUGAAUGGAGCGAUGACCGAUAAUGUAGCCCGUGCCUCCCGAACAUUCAUUGCUCAGAUCGACAAAAUCCUUGAGGCACAACAUUUAUGACAUGAGAUGUAACUUAAUCACAGGAUCCGCCGCUACGAUCUGGUACUCUGAAGAAGUUAUCUAACGAGAUUGUUCGGUGCCGUUACUCUCGGCACUUGUAACCAGCUGUCACUCCGGCUCCACACGUUUAAAGGCAACGCCACGCUGCUAUAUUUCAACCGAUUUAUACUACUGCCAACGCCUCAUGAACCGUCUACUUUCAGCAAACACCACUGCACCAAAGCGGAAUAUGUAUCUUGCUAUCUUUCAAUAAUAUCGAAUUUAAGUCUCCAUUUUAAAUUGAUUAGCAAAAUGGGCAUAAGUAACACGGUUCCGUGGCAGCAGAUGUUUCAAAACUGUAAUGUUGAUUGAAUUUAAUUUAAAUUUAUUUUUUUAUAAUUAUUUUUACAUUCACUAAUACUUUUUUAUUAUUUAAUUUAUAUUAGGAAUAAAUAACUAAAAUAUUACAUACGCACAAAAUGUGAGUAGAUUUUUUUUCAUAUUGCUCUAUAGAAAGUCGUUUCAACGCAAUUUGCGACUGACUACGAAAUAUUAUAUACCUACCAAAUUAAGUUGAAAACUGGAAAAGGGGACUAGCGAAGUUAGAUUUUUCUCGCAAUCCGUACGUUAAACCUAACUUCGCUGGUGGCGUGCUAGUCUAAUUAGGGCCUAAAUAGACUAGCGCACUACUAGCGAAGUUAGGUUUAACGUAUGGAUUGGUUGAAAAAUCCAACUUCGAUAGUCCGCCAUUCCGGUUUUCAACUUGACUAGCACCGUCACAAGGGACUAAAUGGGGCUGAUAAUGAGCCAUUGCUUCAACAACUUAUAACAUAUAACAACUGUGUAACAUAUAAUGGAAUUAGUGCACCUAAGGAUAAGAAAACAAAAAUAUAAGUUACUUUUUUUUAAUGAUUUAGUUAACCGAGAGACAG